rnacentral:tRNA from 1 species
GCUCCUAUAGUUCAGUGGAUAGAACGCAACCUUGCGGAGGUUGAGACCGGAGUUCGAGUCUUCGUGGGGGCA